rnacentral:lncRNA from 1 species
UAGCGAAAUCUCCCCAGAUCACAUCUGAUUCUUCCUACAACAACACACAGUGCCUUAAUGGUUAAUACAGCAACAGUGUCCAUCUCUAGAACAGGAGAGCUUUUCUGUGCCUGCUCUAGAGGGACACAUCUCAAUCCAAUGCUUUCUGAAAAUGUCCACUUUAUCCUGUUUCUUUUUCCUGAGAAAUAAUCCACUGAAAAGACAUAUAAAAUAUAUAUUUGUCUCACUACUAGAAUGUCUGCCUGUGCCCUGGUGACAAGUUUGCAAUUAUUCCAGUGAAAGAGACCCUAGUUUAUUAUUUGGAAUAAUGAGCAUUCACAUAAUCACAUCAGCAAGUUAUGAAGGUUUAUAUGAAUCAUUCCACAUUUUCUGCUCACAGAAUGGAAGAUAGAAGUUGAUUGUUCUCAUAUACAACCCCCCCCCCCACCUUCAGAACAGCUUCAAUUCGUCUGGGCAUGGACUCUACAAGGUGUUGAAAGCGUUCCACAUGGACGCUGGCCCAUGUUGACUCCAAUGCUUCCCACAGUUGUGUCAAGUUGGCUGGAUGUCCUUUGGGUAGUGGACCAUUAUUGAUAAAUACGGAAAACUGUUGAGUGUUAAAAGCCCAGCAGCGUUGAAGUUCUUGACACAAACCAGUGUGCCUGGCACCUACUACCAUACCCCGUUCAAAGAACCAACUGUACCCAAGAAUCACCACAAACUGCUCUCAACAGAACCAACUUUGAGAAACACUCAGGUCGUGUUCCCCUGCUCAGACAAUGCAUGUAUCAACCAAUGGAUGCAUGCCAGAUCAUCGACUGCGCCGUCAGGCAUCAGAUUGCUGUAACAUAUGAAUUUGUUGGCUGAUACGUAAAAUACCUAUCCAGGCACAUCUAAGCAGAGUAACACAACCUCAAAGACACUUGAACUAUGACCUUUUAGAAAUACAAAUGAUUCCUUUUUACGUUAGGAACAUUAUUGGUCCCCAAAAAAUAGCUCAAAUACUUCUUCAGUAUAUCCUGUUACUAUCGUCCGUAAAAUAUCUGUAUAAAUCAAUUGCUCCUGAUUAAGCAUGGACAACAGUACAAAGAGGAGACUGUAUUGAAAGUUUAUCGGCUAAUAUCGCUGUUCCUCAGUUAGAGGAUUCUGCUGCAUUUGUCUUCUUUGUUUACUGCUUUCAUACAUUCUGUUUGUUUUAUCAUCCAUGUCUGUUUCUACCCAGAGAGUGUUGGGGAUACUGUAUCGGAGGAGGCAGAGGGAAUGUGACUUAUCAGAGAAUACUUAGUCUGUUUCUAUGUUAUGUUGUGUAUGUCGCCAAAGACCCACUAAUAAUGUACCCAUACACCAUCCUCUGCUCCAUCGCAACUUCUGCUGUGUGUGCAAUAAAAAUAUUAUAACAAAUUUUA